rnacentral:rRNA from 1 species
AAUGAACGCUGGCGGCGCGCCUAAUACAUGCAAGUCGAGCGAGAAGACGUAGCAAUACGUUUGUAAAGCGGCGAACGGGUGAGGAAUACAUGGGUAACCUACCCUCGAGUGGGGAAUAACUAGCCGAAAGGUUAGCUAAUACCGCGUACGCUUCUUGGACUUCGGUUCAGGGAGGAAAGCGAUGCCGAGGGUAUCGCGCUCUUGGAUGGGCUCAUGUCCUAUCAGCUUGUUGGGAGGUAACGGCUCACCAAGGCUUCGACGGGUAGCCUGGUCUGAGAGGACGAUCAGCCACACUGGCACUGCGACACGGGCCAGACUCCUACGGGAGGCAGCAGUAAGGAAUAUUGCGCAAUGGGCGAAAGCCUGACGCAGCGACGCCGCGUGGGGGAUGAAGGUC